rnacentral:snoRNA from 1 species
AUCUCGUGGUUUGGGCAUUUUGACAACAUUCUAUGGAAUCUCUCCCAUACUUCAAGUAGGGUCUCGCCAUUCUUUUGCCUAAAAUUUAUAUUUCAUCUCUUGAGUC